GGCCGAUUGGUCAAGUGGUAAGAUCCUUGCUUUGGGAGCAAGAGUCCCGCGUUCAAACCGCGGAUCGGCCC